rnacentral:rRNA from 1 species
AUUGAACGCUGGCGGCAUGCCUUACACAUGCAAGUCGAACGGUAACAGGUCUUCGGAUGCUGACGAGUGGCGAACGGGUGAGUAAUGCAUCGGAACGUGCCCAGUAGUGGGGGAUAGCCCGGCGAAAGCCGGAUUAAUACCGCAUACGACCUGAGGGUGAAAGGGGGGGAUCGCAAGACCUCUCGCUAUUGGAGCGGCCGAUGUCAGAUUAGCUAGUUGGUGGGGUAAAGGCCUACCAAGGCAACGAUCUGUAGUUGGUCUGAGAGGACGACCAGCCAAACGGGGACUGAGACACGGCCCAGACUCCCACGGGAGGCAGCAGUGGGGAAUUUUGAACCAUGGGCGCAAGCCUUAUCCGGUAAUGCCGCGUGCAGGAAGAAGGCCUUCGGGUUGUAAACUGCUUUUGUCAGGGAAGAAAUCUUCUGGGUUAAUACCUCGGGAGGAUUACGGUACCUGAAGAAUAAGCACCGGCUAACUACGUGCCAGCCGCCGCCGUAACAC